UUUGUUUUUCUCGACCUUCACUUACGUAAAUAAAAUAUCGAAAUUCAUAAAUAAUGCCUUUAUUUUUUCAUGUCGGCCGACCACGAUUUUACCAAAAUUUUGUAUAUUCGCAAUUAUUUAACUAAAUAUAGACAAUACAAUUUAUGGAGUUCCACGAUUUGGACAAUCUUUCGAUUACGGAUACAGAUCACACCAGCAUGACAAUAGUCCGAGGCUGGAGGCCACGUCAUCUGAUGAUGUGCAGGAUCAAUGUUUUUCCGACACCAAGUUAUCCCACCAACACCAGCGUACCGUUUAUGCUGCUUAAAAACGAUACCACAGUUUCGGUAUCAUCGACAAUGCAGUCUUUAUUAUCUAUUUCAGUUGCAGCAUAAUUAUACACCCGAAUCGCUUUGAUUGUAACAGUUGCGUGAGCCCGUACGGUGACUGCCUGUUUCUAGAUUCCCGGAUGCAAAAGUUAUCUGUAAACAAACAGGAUCAUCCCUGUUUCGUCAUGAACCCCAUUCAAUCCGGUCCAUAAAGUAUCACUCAAGGGAAUUCUUAUUCUGAUGGACUCGACGGAUAGCAAGGGAACAAAACAUUCCUGCGAUCAAGAUCGGAAUCGUCUACAAACUCAAUCCACAAUGAACGACAAAGGACAAUCUUCAACGGAGAUACUAAAUCCGACAAUAGCUGGAGCUUGGAAAGGAAUUCGGACCGAAAUAAAUUAAUAUGUCGAACUUCUCGCACCCCAUCAACUGCUUCAAAAAGAUCGGACUGGUAAUAUUAAUUGGAAUUGAUGCUUUAGAUUCGCUGAACAUAGUUACUAUUCGUAAGUCAUUACGCUCGCCAUUACGUUACCUCUGUCAUCUGAUGAUACCGAUUCAACUAUAACAACAACCGCGGUACAAUCCCUCCUGCUUCAAACUGCAGGCAGCAUUUCUGAAGGAAGUCUCACAGGAAAAGCCGGCGCAAAAUAUCAUGCGAUGAAUGAUCACACCAGCAUGACAAUAGUCCGAGGCUGGAGGCCACGUCAUCUGAUGAUGUGCAGGAUCAAUGUUUUCCGACACCAAGUUAUCCCACCAACACCAGCGUACCGUUUAUGCUGCUUAAAAACGAUACCACAGUUUCGGUAUCAUCGACAAUGCAGUCUUUAUAAUCUAUUUCAGUUGCAGCAUAAUUAUACACCCGGAUCGCUUUGAUUGUAACAGUUGCGUGAGCCCGUACGGUGACUGCCUGUUUCCAGAUUCCCGGAUGCAAAAGUUAUCUGUAAACAAACAGGAUCAUCCCUGUUUCGUCAUGAACCCCAUUCAAUCCGGUCCAUAAAGUAUCACUCAAGGGAAUUCUUAUUCUGAUGGACUCGACGGAUAGCAAGGAACAAAACAUUCCUGCGAUCAAGAUCGGAAUCGUCUACAAACUCAAUCCACAAUGAACGACAAAGGACAAUCUUCAACGGAGAUACUAAAUCCGACAAUAGCUGGAGCUUGGAAAGGAAUUCGGACCGAAAUAAAUUAAUAUGUCGAACUUCUCGCACCCCAUCAACUGCUUCAAAAAGAUCGGACUGGUAAUAUUAAUUGGAAUUGCUGCUUUAGAUUCGCUGAACAUAGUUACUAUUCGUAAGUCAUUACGCUCGCCAUUACGUUACCUCUGUCAUCUGAUGAUACCGAUUCAACUAUAACAACAACCGCGGUACAAUCCCUCCUGCUUCAAACUGCAGGCAGCAUUUCUGAAGGAAGUCUCACAGGAAAAGCCGGCGCAAAAUAUCAUGCGAUGAAUGUGAUAUCUACCUAUCUAGCUAAAUUCAAGCGCGUAGCUACUUACUACUCAUCAGGGAACGUAUGAGAAGAGUAAUGCUGAAAAGAGAUCUCACGUCAUCCAAUCUCCGAGGAACAAGCAAAGCCUGCCUUACUGGACUACCGUUCAAGGCUAAAAUACACGGUAUAUAUUGGAUCACAUCCGUAAAAUCAGUACCAGAUGAUAUGUGAUGCGGCUCUAAACAAAAAUAGUCAACAUGUGCUACCACCACGACAGGAUGUCUUUGGUUGCCAUCUCAGUGCUAAUGGCGUAAGGAAGCCGAUCCACCACGACAACAUAUCCGAGGGAGAAAGUGUAGGAAUCAUUUUGAUGUAAGAACUUUACUUUGGGUGUCGGUCGAUACUGCAUAAUUUUAAAUAGCUUGCUUAUAAUAAAAUAUAUAAAAUUAUAGAUUUCGUGAAUAAUGCUACACCGGAGUUCGUGCAACGUAACACUGUGGCAGACAUUCGCCCUGAGAAUUGUACAAAUGGAUAUUAAAAUAAAAUACCUACCUAUA